UACAGAGGGUGCGAGCGUUGUUCGGAAUUAUUGGGCGUAAAGGGCGCGUAGGCGGCGCGGUAAGUCACCUGUGAAAUCUCCUGGCUCAACUGGGAGCUUGCAGGCGAAACUGCCGUGCUGGAGUGUGGGAGAGGUGCGUGGAAUUCCCGGUGUAGCGGUGAAAUGCGUAGAUAUCUGGAGGAACACCGGUGGCGAAGGCGGCAUCCUGGACCAAUUCUGACGCUGAGGAGCGAAAGCCAGGGGAGCAAACGGG
rnacentral:rRNA from 1 species